rnacentral:lncRNA from 1 species
GGGGAAGUCUGAUUUUAUGGGGAGCCUGGUAGGAGGUCAGUCGGUGAUGGACUUCGGGUAGCACUGGGGAGGCUCGACAGACGUCGGAGGCGAUCGGCUAUCGCAGCUGGAGCUCAUCCGUUAUAGAAGCUCGUCCGGAAUCCAUCCGCUGGAGAAGUUCGGACGGGAUCCUGUUCUCGUGAGAGGUCGAGAGGGGACCAUCCAUUGUAGGAGCUCGGGCGAGGAUCAGUUGUCGUGGA